GAGAAUUAUUCCAAAUAAAUAGUAAUAUAUGUUUAUUUUUUACAAAAAUAUUUUUAAACGAGUUUUUAUUGUAGCAAAAACAGAAGCUUAAAAUGGAGCUCCAAUUUUUAAUAUUCACAAACCCUCUUAUCUUUGGGGUAUAUUUUAUAUCAGAAGAUCUAAGAGAGAGAAUAAACAUGCAUAUAGGAGAAGGAGGGAGAACCUGUUGUAAAAAUGCAAAAAAGAAUAAGAGAAGCAGAAAAUAGCUUGGCAAUGAUUGUCAUAUUUUCGAUUUAUUAUUUGCCUUGUGUUACAUGGGAUAUGAAAAGUUUAUAUAGGAAAAUAUUAGCCCACUAAUUCAUCUACUUUUAUGGAAGGUACUUAAAUUUUGUAUCAGAAGGAAACAUAAUCUAUAGCAAUAUAUCACAAUAUUUUGUUUCUAUUUAUUUUUUCAUAGGGGAAUGUAUU
rnacentral:lncRNA from 1 species